CUCUGGCAUGGUGUAGCGGGACAGCUGGUGUUGUGAAUCAGGCCGUUGCCAAUCAGAGAACGGCUACUUCACAACACCAGGGUCACACUGCACUACAGGCAUCGAGCAUCCGGACACUUGAGCACCUGGACACAGCCUGUAAGACGACCUCCCCACUCCCGGGUCAUUCCAGGACUCCUCCAGCUGGCUCCAGCCCCACGUGGUGACUCUCCAACUCCUGCUCCGAAGGGGCAGCGGAAGCUGCUGUUUAUUGCAACACAAAUAGCUCAACUUCAGAAGAGCACACCACUCCAGGCAGCAUUAGCUUCCCACAAAGGCAGCCACGCAGACAGGUCUCCCAGGCCCUUAGAAAGGCUGAGCACUCUCAACUGAAUGUCUCCUCAGAGAGGCUGGAAACACGUGGAGACAAUAGAACCAGGUCCUUUUUGUCCUUUUUUGUUUUCUUUCUUUUUUAUUUUUCUGUUACUCCUUUUUAAAAAUUGUGUAUGUGUAGGUGUGAGUGUGUGUGUGAGUGUGUGUGUGUGAGCCAAAGGUAUCUUCCUCAAUUGCUCUUUUUAAAAUGUUAUUAUUUAUUUGUGUGUAUGUGCCUAUGUGAGUUUAUGUGUACUACAUGUGUGCGAGUGAGCAGGAAGUCUAGAAGAUGAUGUCAAAUCUCCUGAAACUAGAGCUAUAGGGGGUUAUGAGCAGCCAUGUGGGUUCUGGAAACUGAACACAGUCCUGUGCAAGAGCAUCAAGCAUUCUUAAACCCCAGAUGGUUAACUCCACAGCUCCAUUUUAUUUGUUUGUUUGUUUAUUUAUUUUUGUGUGUGUGUGUGUGUGUGUGUGUGCUCACACAUGUACAUGUUGAUGCUAUAACAUGCACAUGCAAAGCAGUGGUUCUCAACCUGUGGGUCUCAACCCUUUCUGGGGAUCAAACUACCUUUUCACAGGAGCCUUCUAAGACCAUUGGGAACAACACCAAUAUUUACAUUACAAUUCAUAACAGAGGAAAAUUACAGUUAUGAAGUAGUUACGAAAUGAUUUUAUAGUUAGGGAUCACCACAGCAUGAGGAACUGUGUUCAAGGUUCACAACACUAGGAAGGUUGAGAACCACUGAUGUAGAGGUCAGAGGACAACUUUCAAGAGUUGGUUCUCCCCUUCUGUCACAUGGGGCCCAGGCUUGGCAGCAAGUAACUUCACCUGCUGAGCGAUCUCACCAGUCCUCCACUUUUUCUUGGCAGAGUCUCUUACUGAGCCUGGAGCUCACAAAUUCAGCUAGAUUGGCUGGUCACCAAGCCCUGGGGAUCCUCUCAACUCUGCCUCCCCAGAAAUGGCAUCACUGGAGUGUGUCCAGUGGGUACUGGGGACCUAAUGCUGGUCCUCGUGCCAGCAAGCACUUGACCAACUGAGCCGUCUCCCCAGCCCUUGGUUUUGAUAUUGGCAGUGGAGGAGGGAGAACCUGGUUAAGGGGUGACUUCACUGUAACCUUCAAAGGGCUCCCCUACAGGGGCAGCCUGUGUUUCGUCCCAAAUGGUCCCAGAUUCCCUAAGCAGCUGACUCCAUCCUUUGAGAUUUCCACAGCUCUGCCCACAGUUGCUAGAGACACAAAGACCAACAAGGGCCAAGCACUAGGCGUCGAGGGGCACUGAGGUGUCUAAGGCUCCACUUACUUAUUUUGGCAAGCGGUUUCCUAGCCCCACCCUUUAGACUUGAAGACCUAAGGUCUCCCAAAUUUGAGUAUUUUGUGCCUAAUAAAUCUUACUUGUGACACUGUUUUUCAGAGCCCAGGCAGACUCUAAAGAGCUGUAUGGCAUCCUUUCUGAAGUACCAAGGGAAAGGCUUUUGCUGAGGUUCCAUGGGGAGCAGAAGUGGACAAGACCAAGCAGAAGUGGACAAGACCAGUGCAAAUACUGCCCAGCAUGAAGGUCACCCAGACAGAUCCUGGGCCACUGCUGUCUCUGUCACCUUCGAGUCUGGAAGAAGAGCCUCUUGCUUCCUAUAGUCUCCUGUUCCUCACCCCAUUCCUGAGCCCCUAAGGGUAGAUGUAGCAUUUGUACUAAAUUAUGUUUGCUUUCUGUGUGAAAGGAGCCCAGUUCUCAGAAAGACUUUCCUACCAUCUCCUUAGAAUACACCAACUAUCUGCUCCUGACUCCUGACACCACAAGGCUGAGACCAGCACCAUUCAUGGCUCGGCCUCUGGGCACAGCUUCAGUAUGGGGCACACAUGGAUCCUUGGCCCCAUGCCACAUCAGACUCACAGGGAUAGUCUGUCCAGGGUUCCUUCACUGCUUGUCUCUGUGGCCUCCCUACAUCCUCUCCAACAUCUGUUCCAAACCUAUAUUUUCUGAAUGCUCAAAUCAUCUUCUCAAGACUACACCUUAAGACCUGCAGUUCCUCCACAGGCUUAGAGCUAUCUGCAAGGACUUGGCAUCACCCUCCCCCAUAGAAGGACUGGUGAGGGGUUCAGAUCCUGACUUCCACUUCCAAUUCCCUCCCUUUCCAUCCAUCUCCUCUUUUUCCAAAUACCUCCCGCCUUCUCCACACCCAGGCCUUUGUUAGGAUACUCCCAGCCCAUCCUCCUGUGAUUGACACCUGAUUGAUGGUUUAUAUAUUUCAGAGAGAUCUAAUUCCCCAGUUGAGAAGGACAGGUAGCUACCAGUCCAUGGACAUGGCAAGAUGUAAUUCCUGUCCUUUGGAGCAUUCAUCACCCCGACCCACACCAUUGCCCUUCUGCAUUCCACUUCAGGAUGUGUCUUUGCCUGGAGUGGGCCCAGCUCACUGAGAACUGAGAACAGUAAUGCCUGCUAAAUGUACGGGUGAGUGUGCCCAGGCUGUGAGCGUCCUCCAAGGCCCUCUCGUUUUUUGUUGAGUCCUGCAUCGUUUAUUUCCUUUUGGCAAUGUUGCACCAUUAGCCACUUGUAGAGUGGAUCUUCUGCCAGGUGCUGCCUUGAGCAUUUGACCAAAUCAGCCUCAGUUUUUCCUAUCAGCUGGGUCAUGGAACAACCCUUACAGAAAGUGCCAAGGAGAUACCAUCCAUACCACUGGUCACCAGUGACCCUGCUGUUCAAACCUAGGCCCUGAAGUCUGUGCCCUGAGCCACUGUGCCAUGAUGCUGAGGAGCGGUCACUCCUAGGGACCUAGCAAAGUCCUCUUUAUUCUCAGAAUCUUCCACCUUGGGGUCUUUAACCAGGUACCCCGCCCCACUAAUAAACAUUUGUAAGAGGUUUUAACCUUGUUUGAAAGGCUUCAGAAUGGGACCUGACUUAAAACCUUAUAAAAUAUAAAUGGGGUCACACCCAGAGAAAACGAGGGAAUCAUAUAAGACCCAGAAGAAAGUGGAUUUUAAUUUGGCGUGAUACCAGUAAGUUCUUCUGAGGUUUAUGUGUGACCUUCAAAUACCAAAGCUGCAAAUUCAGAUGAGGGCCCCCUCAGAACUCAGUGUUUGGGAGAACACAACUUUGGGCUUUCUUCUCAGUCCUUAACCCCACCAGGGCACCACUCCAAGCCACACAGGUCUACUCACAGUGUGGCUUUUAUUCUAAUGCGCAUUCUGUCUCACUGAGAACAGCAACUGCAGCCCCAGAACAUUCCAGACCAUCCACUUAGGUGGACUUGAUGAUACCUAUCAGAAGGGAGCAAGACCAUACAGCCACUGUUUUCUGUAGCCUUCUCAGCAGCCAUUCAUUGGAAGUUUAGAAUCUCUGCAUUGCACGUUCUGUGAGGCUGACAUUUGCAGCAAGCCACAUUGCAAACAGCAGAGUCUCUAACAUGGCCCAAUGCAGACCACAAAAAGCUGUGGACACAGUGGGCUUGUCACACACACACACACACACACACACACACACACACACACACACACACACACACACUUUGACACCCAGUGUCUUGACCUUUCAGACUGGCUACCACCUGCUAGCCAUGGCCAGUACUUUUGGGAAAAGCUGGAUUCAGAAAGGACAUUUUCUUGUAAUACUGAAUACCAAGUAGAACAGUGUUUUUCAAAUUGUGUUUCUGGGACUGGCAACCUUAUCAGCACCCUUGGGAACUUACUGGGUGAGCAACUCACCAGCCCUACCCUGGCUGUGCUGAAUGUUGGCCAGCACUCCAAAGAGUUCCAAAUCAUACUGAUGGCAAGAAGAAGAAAAAUCUAGGCACGAUGGUGCACACCUUUAACACAUCCACACAAAAUCACCAAACCCAGCCAGCGAGAACCUGUUGGGAAGGAGGGAGGAAAUAAAAUGACUUCAGCAGCAUGUGACAGUGAAGCCUCCCAGGCCACCAUCCUCGGCAGUGUGAGAUGCUUAUGGUUUUCACCGAAUAUUGAAUAACAGUUUAAAACCCAUUUUUCCAAAUCUUAGGAGCAAAUCUCCAGGUGCCCUGGGCUAUGGAGUCCUGACCUCUCCUAUGUUCUGAAUAAAUCUGUCCAGGGCAUGUUUGAUCCCUGCCCCAGGGAGGCCGCAGGUACCAAUGCAAAGCCUUAUCAUCUCUUCUCAUCCGGCACAUUGCAAAGGUUUCACAUUCUCCACUCUGGGCUUGAGGCAACCUCAUUCUAAGAAGAGGAUCUUGAGAGGUUUACUAACCUCCCCCAGGUGGAAGUGGCUGCCUACCCUUGCAAUCAUGAACCUGCUGUCUCCAGUGCUUCGCUUGGCCCUGCCUUUCAUUUGGCCCCUCUUUCAUGAACAAAUAGGAAGCAGAGAAGCCAGAAUGUCCAGUGUAGAGCACCUGUGCCGGUGGGAUCAGAGAAAAACCACUUAUGAUCGGCCCCUAACAGAAAAUCCUGACCUGAAGACUAGAGACUGGGUGGUGACUGCAAUUGAAUGUGAACAUCUUGUGCCUCUUUGACCUCGGAAUGAGUUUCUGUUAUCAUCCUUGUUAUCUCGGUGGUAGUUAUCAAUAGCCUUUAUGCUCACCUUGUGGAUGAUCUCAUACAUACAACAGAUAAACUGGAGGCAAAGAUCUUUCCAGCCCUAAUCCACAGCAUCUCAGUAGGUACUGACCCAGGCAAGUGUCCCUAAGAAAAGCACAGUAAUUUAGAUCAAGAGUUCUGACCUUUUCUAUCAUGUGCACUGUGGUGAGACCAGGAGGAAGCUGUGUCCCACUUCCCAUCACAACCCAGGAAACUUCACACACUGUUAACGAGGGAAGAGCACAUGGGCCUUGAGGACAGAGCUGAAGUCUGAGGUCUUCAUCAUAAUUCGGAUUUUCAGAGGAAAACUAAUCUGACCCGCUGUUCCCUCUAUCCCCUAAACAAAAACUCCUGAAGGAGUGUCACACAGAGCUUGAAAUGCUAUUUUUAAAGACAUCAGCAUGAAAGGGCUGGGAGAGCACUAAGUGGAAAAGCACUUGAUGUGCAGGCAUGCAGACCUGAGUUUGGUUCCCCAGCACCACACAGAAAAGGCGGUCGGAGCAUCAUGUACUUGUAAUCCCAGCAGCUGAGAGGGGAGACAGGUGGAUCUCUGGAGCUUGCAAAGCGGCCAAUUGAGUAGCAACAUCUUAUAGCCAAGGAAGUGGAUCAGGAUAGCUAAGGAACCUGCUCUGGGCCACACAGCUUGGCCCUUUGUUUCCAGAACCAAAGCUUCUUAUGAUCCAGGACAAAGGCAGUGGCCCCAGUACCCUGGUAAUAUUUACCAUGUGCUAGACAUUUGUACUGUUCCAGACCCCAGAGCACCCUGGGAAGGGAAGCAGCAUUCUUCCAGUGUUUAUGUAAGGACGAGGGUCAGGACAAUGAAAACACUUGCUCAGGGUCCCAUAGUUUGGCAGUUGAUUAUCAUGCCCCAAGGAGGUAUGCUGCUUGCCUGCCUAAAGGACAUUCUGCACACACUUUGUGAUCAGCUCCUGCCACUCACCCCAGGCUAUGUAGAAGUGACUAAUUUCAAAGGUUCCUAACUGUCUCCAACUGGGGCUUGGGGACAGCAUGCUGAAAGUGAGAAAAAAAUAAAAAUUAAAGCAACCAUCAAUCAUGCCUUGUUGGAGCAGAGGCUACGUGGGCCCACAGUAGUCACCUGUGAUCUCAUUUCCUCCCACAGGACCAUGAGUCCCCAAGAGCAGAAUUCACUGUUACUUUGUUGGGUGCACCCAAAGCCAACACAGUAGAGCUUAGUACACGGUUGGUAUUUGGUGCAAGGCUGUUCUAUGAACAAUCAUGGGUUCCUCUGCUGUCCAUGCUGGAAUGCCGAAAGCCCCCCCAGUGUCCCAGUAUGCCAUAGCUAGCUUAUUCUCAUGGAAGACUCAUAGACUGUCUUCAUAUGUUAGCACUAUCUCAUAAUCUGGGCACUAAAGCCUUCAGAGAGGCCUCUAGCAGUGACUCUGUGGCUGUCACAGACAGGCUUGGUAAUUAGUUGCAUCUUGCUGAACUUAUUAAAGACAGGAAGCAGCUUCCCUGCUACCUUUUAUGAGCCUUGAAAGCCAGUCAGGCUCCUCUGUUACACUCACAUGGUACCACACCCUUCAACAGGGUGCACAGCCAUCAUGGUGUGAAAUAAGCCUCUGGACCCCAGAGUGUGGGCCUCUUCUGUCCCCCAUCACCUGGCAUAUAGCAUUUACAGGACAUGUGACUUGCCAUCUCAUAUGGUGUCUGCUGGGUUUAGCAUGUGGAGUGCUUGUGUUCCUCAGUACAUAAAACAUGGGCACUGACCAUAGUCAAGUGGAUGGUACUGCCAGCGUGGGGAAAAUACCUCUCUCCAUGCAGGCACUGUGAAAGUGGAAUGGUGUGAUCUAGGACCUAGAGGGGAGGUCUCAACAUUGUCACUUGGAGCCAAAAUCUUAAAUAACAGCUAACCCAGCUAUUCCAUCUGAAUUGUUAACUGGAUGAAGAAGCCAGAAAUCGAUGAGUUUGGUGCAAAAUUUCAGGGAUAUUAUCAAAAGCUUUGACCCUGUCCCUCUGUGCUACCACCCUCCUGUGAUCACAGAAAGGAUGCUGGCCUUCUAGUCAGCACCUCCAUAUUUCAAGAGGAAUAAAGGCGAGUUGGAGGGGCCAGUAAUAAGCCCUCCUUUCACCAAAUGAUGCCACCUUCCCAGGAACAUUCCAACCCAGCAGACUUGGAAAUCCCGGGCAGAACUCCAUCCCUGGGCCCCAGAACUAGGAACAUUGGGGAAAGUUGAGAUGCCACUAUAAGGAGUAAAAAGCUAAAGCAGCAAUCCCUGACACCCUCAUUGCUGCCAACCAGCAGCAUCUGCGAGAAUGCACAACUGAUUUUAACAUAGCGACUAUUUUGUGGGACGUCUUAUAAAAGGAACGGGUAAAAUGUACAGGUCUGGAGAGACAGCUCAGUGCACUUGUUGUCCUGUCAAGGGACCCAGGUUUGAUUCUCGGCACCCAGGAGGCAUCUUAAAACCAUCUGAGUCUGGCUCUAGGGGAUAUGACACCCUCUUCUGGCUUCCAUGGGUACUGCAUGCAUGUGGUACAAAUACAUACAUGCAGACAAACACUCCUACAUUCAAAAUAAAAAUAAAUAGAUUUUUAACUGCCAGGCUGGCAUGCCUGGGCCAGGAGGCAGUGGGGGGAGGGGGAGCGUGAAGAAGAUCUAAAGUCUCCACACUCCUUCACAAUUAAGCACUGAUUUCUCCUGGCUUAUUCAUCUGACUCUUCAUGCUUAACAGGGAUAGGACCACAUGGUAGAGUGCUCUGAAAUUAGACUUUUCUGGUAGUGUGAAAAAAAAAAAAUCCAGCUCAUGAAAUGUUCUUUGCAGAACUGUGCUUUGUGGCUGCACACGCCCUUGAAUAAGGUGUUGUUUGCCAGGUCCCUUGGUAUUAAUCGUUCUGAUAUUAAUAAAGAAAAAAUGGGAGAAGUUGACCCACGUCAACUUACAGCUAAAUCUUGGGUCCAGUAACUCCCUUCUGAGGCUAUGGCAAAGAGACUUCCGAAAGGGUCUGAAUAUGAGCCAAGUUGCCUUCCUUGUGGAGGGCUCAGUUACCUGCCCACUAACAGAUACGGAUGCCCAUUCUCCCAAAGUUUUCACCAACCUGAGAAGUGGGUCACAGGGGAGCAGAUCCAUCUGCUGACAAUUUAACCUAGCUGAUUGCCCUGCUGAGGUCUGAAGGAAGCACUUGCACAGGCCUGUGGCAAGGCUAGCCCUGGAGCCUAGGCCUCAGAACCAGAGGUUAGCCCCAGGAUCUCAGGCUUGGAGGCAUGGUGGCCAUGGAGUAGGCCAUGGGUCUCAAAGGUCCCUGGUGUGUUAGGCACCCUGGGCAUACAGCUUUGAUUCCAACUCAACAUAAUGUUGCCACUUUAGCUGUGUGGCCUCUGGCUUCUCAGCAAGCUGUUUUCUAGUACCAGUAGACAGAAGUUGAGCAUAAGGAUUUCUCUUCUUUCCAACUGUUGACUGAAUUGUGUCCCCCUAAGAGUAUAUGAUGAAGCUCUGAGCCCUUGAAUAGGACCUUUAAAGAAGUAAUUUAAUACUAAAUUAGGUCAUAAGGGUAGGGCCUUAAUCCAAUACAACCAGUGACCUCUAUAUAAAUGGAGAGUCGAGUAAAAGCUUUAUAAGGACACAGCAGGAGUGUGCCAGUCUACAAGAAGGAGAGGCCCUGGGAGAGAGCAAACCCACAGAAGCACCUAAGAAAUACCUGCUGCUUUCGCUAACCUGUUGGUGGGUUGUGUUAUGAAAGCCCUGGGCCAUGGGGUACUCAUAGGUGCUACUUCUCCCAAAACCUGAGUCAUACCACACACCCUGAAACUGAAGUCAGAUUCUUUCCAUAAAUCUCAAAUGCACACAUGGCAUGGGCAAUGGAUACCCUGCCAUCAUCCCAGCCACCUCUGAGUUCCUGAGACAUGUGCCACAGUCUCAUCCCAGCCUUCCUAAGCCCUAUGCCUGUACCCAAGAGCCAGCGCAGCUUGGGGGCAAGCCCUGUCAUCCAGGAAGUGCCUGGGAGCUAAUGCCUCUCUCCUUCACCCUCUCCUACAACCCCAGCCACCUUCCACCACGGAGGAGGGGGUGGCAGUCACCCCAUACUCAGCACAGCUCCCGGGCUUUCUCCUGCAGAUGGAGUCUCAUUGCCCAUGAUGCCCCUGAAAGGUUCAUCCAUUCCUUGCUUACCCCAGACUUGUGAUUCCCGGAUUGUUCUCUCAGAUAAACUGCGGUCUCAGAGUCUGCUUUGAGGGAUCCAAACAGGAGACAGUUGUGUAGUUUCCUGGUUUGGUUUGUUGCUUUUUCCCAUUGUGCUUUAUUUUACAUUUAUUUAUUUGUGGGGUGAGCACAGGCCAGGACACAUUUGUGGAGGUCAGAGGACACUCACAGAAGCUGGUUCUCUCCUUCCACCAUGUGGAUCCCAGGAUCCAACUCAAGCUGCCAGGCUUAGUGCCAAGCACCUUUGCCAGCUGACCCAUCUCGCUGGCCCUCCCACCCCCUUUUGCUUUUGUUGGCUUUUUUUUUUAAUAGAUUUGGGUUUGGGGGGGUUGUUUUGGUUUGGUUUGGUUUUUGUUUCUUUUUUUCUUUUUCUUUUUUUUUUUUUUAAGAGAAGUUUGGGGCUGACAGCAAAACUGGGUGAAAGGAGCAGAAAUUUACUCACACUCAAUGCCUCCACUAUUGUCAGUAUCUCCGACCAGAGUGACACAUUUAUUAUAACUGAUGAGCCUACACAGAUACAUCAUUAUUGCCCAGAGUCGGUAGUUCACAUCAGAAUUCACUCAAUGUGUGACACACUCUUCAGUGUGUCAGUGUCAGCAGCAGCACUGCCCUUGGAGGCUCCCAUCUUUACACCUCUCUCCCUCUCUUUCUCUCUCUCUCUCCCUCUCUUUCUCUCCCUCCCCUCCCUCCCUUUCUCUCUCUCUCUCUCUCCCUCCCCCUCCCUCCCCCUCCCUCUCCCUCUCUUCCCAACACACCUAGCAACCACUCCUUCACUGCUUUGGUUGUCCUUUCCCAGAGGGACUGUAUGGUUGGAACUGUGUAUAAUGAUGUCCUUUUAGAUCAGUUUUUUGUUCAUUUUAUAAUAUUGAAUCCAUGAUUCACCUGCCUCCGCCUCCUAAGUGACAGCAUUACAAGUGAGUGCCCCAAGCCCAGCUUUAAACACCUACAAAAACAGAAAACACCUGUUUGGGUUACCCUUCCCCAGUUGCUGUGAUGGGGAGCAGCUGACCCGAGUGCACCAAUAGGCUCUCACCAGACUCGGCUGACAUCACAUUUAAACAUUGUUUCAGAUCCCUCCAGAUUUUCAGAUCAGGCUCCUCUUCCCAACACAGUGCCCUGAUCUGUGGGGAGUCCACUGUGUUUCAGCUUGGCAGGGAGGCCCUAGCAGGUGAUAUGGCCCUGGGCCCACACCCUCUUAAGUAGCUACUCACCUCUAAAGCCAUAGGCUCUAACCCCUUGGCUCUCUGCCUGAGGACUUCUGUGGGUUUUCAGAAGUUUUAGUUUUGAUCAUUCAAAAAGUCAGGCUGAAGAUGCAGAGAUCCAAGGCCAAGCCCCAGGCGGAGCUGCAGGAGUCCAAUCGAAAAGGAAACAAAGGGAUCAGACACCUGCAGCAGAGAAUUUGAAUCAGAUAUCUGAAGUGAGGCUUGCCUGCUUCACCUGCUACGCCCAUCCCCAUUUAGAGCAAGAGAUCUUCAGAGUUUAGU